GCUGGACUGUAACUGACGNUGAGGCACGAAAGCGUGGGGAUCAAACAGGAUUAGAUACCCUGGUANNCCACGCCGUAAACGAUGAAUGCUAGCUGUUAGCGAUAUACUGUNAGCGGCACAGAGAAAUCGUUAAGCAUUCCACCUGGGGAGUACGCCGGCAACGGUGAAACUCAAAGGAAUUGACGGGGGCCCGCACAAGCGGAGGAACAUGUGGUUUAAUUCGAUGAUACGCGAGGAACCUUACCUGGGCUUAAAUUGCAGUGGAAUAACGUGGAAACAUGUUAGCCUUCGGGCCGCUGUGAAGGUGCUGCAUGGUUGUCGUCAGCUCGUGCCGUGAGGUGUCGGCUUAAGUGCCAUAACGAGCGCAACCCUCAUCGAUAGUUACUAACAGGUUAAGCUGAGGACUCUAUCGAGACUGCCGACGUAAGUCGUGAGGAAGGUGGGGAUGACGUCAAAUCAGCACGGCCCUUACGUCCAGGGCUACACACGUGUUACAAUGGGGGGUACAAAGGGCAGCUACCUGGCGACAGGAUGCUAAUCUCAAAAACCUCUCUCAGUUCGGAUUGGAGUCUGCAACCCGACUCCAUGAAGCUGGAUUCGCUAGUAAUCGCGCAUCAGCCACGGCGCGGUGAAUACGUUCCCGGGCCUUGUACACACCGCCCGUCAAGCCAUGGGAGCCGGGGGGACCUGAAGUAUGCAACCGUAAGGAGCGUCCUAGGGUAAAACUGGUGACUGGGGCU
rnacentral:rRNA from 1 species